UACGGAGGGUGCGAGCGUUGUCCGGAAUCAUUGGGCGUAAAGGGCGCGUAGGUGGCCCGGUUAGUCAGUGGUGAAAGCGCGGGGCUCAACUCCGCGUCGGCCAUUGAUACUGCUGGGCUGGAGCACUGUAGAGGCAGGCGGAAUUCCGGGUGUAGCGGUGGAAUGCGUAGAGAUCCGGAAGAACACCGGUGGCGAAGGCGGCAUCCUGGACCACGACUGACGCUGAUGAGCGAAAGCGUGGGGAGCGAACAGG
rnacentral:rRNA from 1 species